GUCUGCUGUCAGACCAUCUUGGGCUGAGCACUUGACGCAGUUCGUAAGCUAAGCAGGAUUGGACCUGAUCAAGUCUUGGAUGGGAGAUCCCUGGUGAAGCUGCAGGAUGCUCCAGGGA
ensembl:rRNA 5S_rRNA 5S ribosomal RNA